rnacentral:rRNA from 1 species
AUUGAACGCUGGCGGCAGGCCUAACACAUGCAAGUCGAGCGGAGCGGCGGACGGGUGAGUAAGGCCUAGGAAUCUGCAUGGUAGUGGGGGAUAACGUCCGGAAACGGGCGAUAAUACCGCAUACUAUCAGAUGAGCCUAGGUCUGAUUAGCGAGUAGGUGGGUUAAGGGCAUACCAAGGCGACGAUCCGUAACUGGUCUGAGAGGAUGAUCAGUCACUCUGGAACUGGGACACGGUCCAGACUCCUACGGAGGGCAGCAGUGGGGAAUAUUGGACAAUGGGCGAAAGCCUGCUCCAGCCCUGCCGGGUGUGUGAAGAAGGUCUUCGGAUUGUAAAGCACUUUAAGUUGGGAGGCGUUACCAACAGAGUAAGCACCGGCUAACUUCGUGCCAGCAGCCGCGGUAAUAC